GAUAGUGAUUCUGUAAUAAGGUCGAGGGGGAUUGUUUCAGGAUUGAAAAUAAUGGGAAUCAGUUGGCUGAAACGAAACAGGUGAUGACCCAGUUGAUGAAAAUGGAAAGAACGCGCAAGAACCGACGCCUAGGAUGAGUAUGAUUGUCCAGUAAACCAAUGGAUAUAGAGGUGUUCCUGAUACCAAGAGAAAAGUGUCCUAGGAGUCUGACACAAGAGCCUGUCGACCUCCUGCCAGCGACUUUAUGCGGAAUCUCAUCUCCCAAGAAGAGUGUGAAGAUAACUAUGUGAAACAGAUGGGCCUGCUGGCAAAGGACCUUCUUCUCCUGGAAACUGGUUUCAGACACCCCAACACCAGAAAGCUUCCACCAUCUUUGUUGCUCUCCUCUCACCAAGGCUGACCGAUUUCUUUUGGUGUUCAGAGUCUUCUUCAGUUUCUAGCACCAUUUGAAAUCGGUUACAAUGUAGGAGGGAAAUCAACUGGAGGCGUGAAAAAAAGGUGGCUCCAGCUCACCUCUUGACUUGUCUUCUCUGUUGUCCUGGCUGUGUUCCAGCUGGAGUAAAGUUGGUGCAAGGAGGACACAUCCUGUACAACCCACACACAAGCCAGUAAAAAUAAAGAGGUUAUGCAGAGGGACCGUUGUUGCGAAAUUAUCAGGGCCAACAUGCAUUAAUAAAGUGGCACUGCUUGGCUGUAAAUUGUUAUCAGUCACUAAAAUAUGCUCUUUCCUUAAUAAUGUGUUCACAUUUUUCCUUUUUUCCCCACAGGAUUUUUAACCACACAUUGCACAUGCAAAACAAUCAAGUCAAAUAUUUAGUAAUUGAGCAGUGUCCUGAGCACUGUCCUCUGUGGUCUGUUAUGUUAAAAAGCACUCUUGUAACUAUGAAUUAGCGAUAACCAAAGUUUGAGUUACUUUUAGCAUUUAAGAAUAGCAGGCCCAGAUUAACAGAGCAUUUAGGCAGGAUGACAGGGUCACAGGAUUAGUUUGAGAGUUACAAAGACAGAUGUUAGCAGACAUUUUCAGUCAUUUACAAAGUACUCACGUGAAAACACAAGACAUCUGAAUACACCACCAUUUUUAACAC